ACUCAAAUGAAUUGACGGGGACCCACACAAGCGGUGGAGCAUGGGGUUUAAUUCGAUGACAAGCGAAGCACCUCACCCAGGCUUGACAUCUAGGGAAUCUGGCCGAAAGGUCGGAGUGCCGCAAGGAACCCUAAGACAGGCGCUGCACGGUCGUCGUCAGCUCGUGCCUUGAGGUGUACUGUUCAGUCAGCCAACGAGCGCAACCCUGAUCCUGUGUUGUUAUUUCACAGGAGACUGCCGCCUCCAAGGCGGAGGAAGGUCAGGAUGACGUCAGAUCAGCGUGGCCCUUAUGCCUGGGGCAACACCCGUGCUACAAUGGUCGGUACAAACGGAAGCAAACCCGCGAGGGUAAGCAAAUCCGAUAAAGCCGGCCUCAGUUCGGAUUGAAGUCUGCAACUCGACUUCAUGAAGUUGGAAUCGCUAGUAACCGUGAAUCAGCUACGUCACGGUGAAUAUGUUCCUGGGUCUUGUACACACCGCCCGU
rnacentral:rRNA from 1 species